UUUGAUCCUGGCUCAGGAUGAACGCUAGCGACAGGCCUAACACAUGCAAGUCGAGGGGCAUCGGGAGCGAAGCUUGCUUUGCUCCGCCGGCGACCGGCGCACGGGUGAGUAACGCGUAUGCAACCUGCCCGUUUCAGCGGGAUAACCCGGAGAAAUCCGGCCUAAUACCGCAUGUGGCCGAGGGAAGGCAUCUUCUUUCGGCCAAAGGAGGCGACUCCGGAGACGGAUGGGCAUGCGUGACAUUAGCUUGUUGGCGGGGUAACGGCCCACCAAGGCGACGAUGUCUAGGGGUUCUGAGAGGAAGGUCCCCCACACUGGUACUGAGACACGGACUAGACUCCUACGGGAGGCAGCAGUGAGGAAUAUUGGUCAAUGGGCGAGAGCCUGAACCAGCCAAGUCGCGUGAAGGAUGACGGCCCUACGGGUUGUAAACUUCUUUUGUCAGGGAGCAAUUGGGUCCACGCGUGGGCUUAGCGAGAGUACCUGAAGAAAAAGCAUCGGCUAACUCCGUG
rnacentral:rRNA from 1 species